rnacentral:rRNA from 1 species
AUUUCCUACGGGAGGCAGCAGUGAGGAAUAUUGGUCAAUGGGCUUACGCCUGAACCAGCCAAGUCGCGUGAGGGAAGACUGCCCUAUGGGUUGUAAACCUCUUUUGUCAGGGGGCAACGCCGGCUACGUGUAGCCGGACUGAGAGUACCUGAAGAAAAAGCAUCGGCUAACUCCGUGCCAGCAGCCGCGGUAAUACGUAGGGAGCAAGCGUUAUCCGGAUUUACUGGGUGUAAAGGGCGUGUAGGCGGGCCUGCAAGUCAGAAGUGAAAUCUGGGGGCUUAACCCCCAAACUGCUUUUGAAACUG